rnacentral:rRNA from 1 species
UACGGAGGAUCCGAGCGUUAUCCGGAUUUAUUGGGUUUAAAGGGUGCGUAGGCGGCCCGUUAAGUCAGGGGUGAAAUACGGUGGCUCAACCAUCGCAGUGCCUUUGAUACUGAUGGGCUUGAAUCCAUAUGAAGUGGGCGGAAUAAGACAAGUAGCGGUGAAAUGCAUAGAUAUGUCUCAGAACCCCGAUUGCGAAGGCAGCUGUCUAAGCGGUAAUUGACGCUGAUGCACGAAAGCGUGGGGAUCGAACAGG